UCGGGAAUUUUGGGCAAUCGGCGAAAGCCUGACCCAGCAACGCCGCGUGAAGGAUGAAGUAUUUCGGUAUGUAAACUUCGAAAGAAUAGGAAGAAUAAAUGACGGUACUAUUUAUAAGGUCCGGCUAACUACGUGCCAGCAGCCGCGGUAAUACGUAGGGACCAAGCGUUGUUCGGAUUUACUGGGCGUAAAGGGCGCGUAGGCGGCAAUUCAAGUCAUCUGUGAAAUCUCCGGGCUUAACUCGGAACGGUCAGAUGAUACUGCUUUGCUAGAGUGCAGAAGGGGCAAUCGGAAUUCUUGGUGUAGCGGUGAAAUGCGUAGAUAUCAAGAGGAACACCUGAGGUGAAGACGGGUUGCUGGGCUGACACUGACGCUGAGGCGCGAAAGCCAGGGGAGCAAACAGGAUUAGAUACCCCAGUAGUCCCUGAGCGGGCUGGCAAGGCGCAU
rnacentral:rRNA from 1 species